UACGGAGGGAGCUAGCGUUGUUCGGAAUUACUGGGCGUAAAGCGCACGUAGGCGGCUUUUUAAGUCAGUGGUGAAAGCCUGGAGCUCAACUCCAGAACUGCCAUUGAAACUGUUAGACUUGAGUACGAGAGAGGUGAGUGGAAUUCCCAGUGUAGAGGUGAAAUUCGUAGAUAUUGGGAAGAACACCGGUGGCGAAGGCGGCUCACUGGCUCGUAACUGACGCUCAGGCGCGACAGCGUGGGGAUCAAACAGG
rnacentral:rRNA from 1 species